rnacentral:piRNA from 1 species
UCCUGACCAUCCAACACACUA